rnacentral:lncRNA from 1 species
AUGCUGGGAAGCUCACCUACAUAGACACAAAAUACGUGGUACAUGUGAAGAGUUAAAGAAUUUGACACCAAUUUUACAUAUGUGCAACAGUCAGAAUUCUACUUGGAGCCAAACAUUAAGUACGUAUUUCAAGUGAGAUGUCAAGAAACAGGCAAAAGGUACUGGCAGCCUUGGAGUUCACUGUUUUUUCAUAAAACACCUGAAACAGUCCCCAGGUCACAUCAAAAGCAUUCCAACAUGACACAUGGAAUUCUGGGCUAACAGUUGCUUCCAUCUCUACAGGGCACCUUACUUCUGCAACAGAGGAGACAUUGGACUUUUAUUGGGAAUGAUCGUCUUUGCUGUUAUGUUGUCAAUUCUUUCUUUGAUUGGGAUAUUUAACAGAUCAUUCCGAACUGGAUUAAAAGAAGGAUCUUAUUGUUAAUACCAAAGUGGCUUUAUGAAGAUAUUCCUAAUAUGAAAAACAGCAAUGUUGUGAAAAUGCUACAGAAAAUAGUGAACUUAUGAAUAAUAAUUCCAGUGAGCAGGUCCUAUAUGUUGAUCCCAUGAUUACAGAGAUAAAAGAAAUCUUCAUCCCAGAACACAAGC